rnacentral:rRNA from 1 species
GAUGAACGCUGGCGGCGUGCCUAAUACAUGCAAGUCGAGCGAACGGACGAGAAGCUUGCUUCUCGGAUGUUAUCGGCGGACGGGUGAUUAACACGUGGAUAACCUACUUAUAAGACUGGGAUAACUUCGGGAAACCGUAGCUAAUACCGGAUAAUAUUUUGAACCUCUUGGUUCAAAAGUGAAAGACGGUCUUGCUGUCACUUAUAGAUGGAUCCGCGCUGCAUUGGCUAGUUGGUAAGGUAAUGGCUUACCAAGGCAACGAUGCAUAGCCGACCUGAGAGGGUGAUCGGCCACACUGGAACUGAGACGCGGUCCAGACUACUACGGGAGGCAGCAGUAGGGAAUCUUACGCAAUGGGCGAAAGACUGAUGGAGCAACGCCGCGUGAGGGAUGAAGGUCUUCGGAUCGUAAAACUCUGUUAUUAGGGAAGAACAUAUGUGUAAGUAACUGUGCACAUCUUGACGGUACCUAAUCAGAAAGCCACGGCUAACUACGUG